rnacentral:rRNA from 1 species
UACGUAGGCGGAAAAUUAAGUCAGUGGUGAAAUCCUGCGGCUCAACCGUAGAACUGCCAUUGAUACUGAUAUUCUUGAAUGUAGUUGAGGUAGGCGGAAUGUGUAAUGUAGCGGUGAAAUGCUUAGAUAUUACACAGAACACCGAUUGCGAAGGCAGCUUACUAAACUAUGAUUGACGCUGAGGCACGAAAGCGUGGGGAGCGAACAGGAUUAGAUACCCUGGUAGUCC